UUAUGAUUAUGUUUUUCUACACUUUUAAUAAUCUCUUGCCUUUGACACUCCCUUUUUUUUUUUCCUAAUAAAAAAUUUAGGCCAAUUGUGGUGGCUCACGCCUGUAAUCCUAAUACUUUGGAAGGCCAAGGUGGGUGGAUCAGAAGGUCAGAAGAUCGAGACCAUCCUGGCCAACAUGGUGAAACCCCGUCCCUACUGAAAUACAAAAAAAAAAAAAAAAAAUUAGCCGGGUACGGUGGCACACGCCUGUAGUCCCAGCUGCUUGGGAGGCUGAGGCAGGGGGACUCACUUGAACCCUGGAGGCAGAGGUUGCACUGAGCCGAGAUUGCACCACUGCAUUCCAGCCUGGCAACAGAAUGAGACUCCGUGUCAAAAAAAAAAAAAAAAGAUUUGUAUUUACUUUGAAGCAUUCGGAAGGUCAACAAAACAACUGCAACAUUUUUUUUUUUUGCAAUUGCAAAGUGGUAUUUAGUUACAGAACAAUUAUUUUGUAUAAGCUGCAUCAGAGACAACUGAAGAUGAAAAAACCACCAUUCCCAUACAUAGCUAAUUUGUGCUAUGCACCAAGAAGAACCUGCUUUAAAUUUCCAUGCCAAUUUACAACCACCACCACCGCCCCCCCACCAACACCGUACAAAGCAAGUUUCUUCGAAACAUCACCAAUGGACAGGCCGAGAUGUUCUCCGUUGAUUUUUGGGCGAUACUCAGAACAGAACAGGUAAAAGGCUGAAGGAGGCCUCUUAGAUGCAUUGGUAUCCCUUGAACAACUUUUUUGUCUCCUCUUUAGGAGGGAUGUAGGUUUUCAUUUCUCUUUCAUGACAGGCCUUGUCCACCUUUGCCAUAUCUGCAAAUUUUCCUUUCUCUUUAGCUAGCAUGGUCUUCCACCUCUCUGAGCACUUCUUAGAAAACUGUGAGGGGCCAGACGUGGUGGCUCACACCUGUAAUCCAAGCACUUUGGAGGCCAAGGCGGGUGAAUCACCUGAGAUCGGGAGUUCAAGAGCAGCCUGACCAACGUGGUGAAACCCACUCUUUUAAAAAAAAAAAAAAGAAGAAGAAAGAAAGAAAACUCUGAAAAGUUGACUGAUCCUCCUGACAAGUUUGCACAAAAAAUGCAUAUGAUGACAUUUUGCCUCUUGGCUUCUUAGGAUCUCCUUUACCCAUGUUUAGUUAUUUAGGUUACUUUGUAGGAUCUAGGUUUUUCCUAUGCCCCCAUAAGAAUAAUAGCUUUGAAAUUUAUGCCAGGAUAGCAAAGAAGAUACUUAGCUUUAGAUGGUGUGGCUGCAGCCAGGAUUUUUGCGAGGAGAGGUGAUUAGGGCAGAUUUCUUACUCUCCUUGCCUCGUCUGUAACGUGGGGAUAAUAAUAGAAUGGGCCUGACAAGGUUGGAAUUAGUAUUACAUGAUUAAGACAUGUAAAGUGUUACAUGAUUAAGACAUGUAAAGUGUUUAGAAUGGUGCCAAGUAUUUAGGAAGUACUUGGGUAUGAGGUGGCGGUGGUAGUGAUGUCAUACUCUUACAUGCAUAUCAUUCCAAGAGAGUUUUAAAUGUAUACAUUAUUGUAUUGAUAUAUAGAAAUUAAGCUUCUAGACUCUCUUUCCUUGAUUCUGAAACCCUACCGAAGGUCAUAUCGAUCUCUUUCCAACAUUAUUUUUUACUGCUUCAAGUAUCAUAUGCUGCAGUCACGUUUAACUCUCAUGGUUCUCUUGUAC
ensembl:lincRNA